CAGGAACACACAGCAGAGAUUGCAGAUACAAGGCUAUCUAGAUGGGUGACCUCUAGUGUAUUUAGAAGUUUUUAAUGACAUCAGUUUCGUUACAGAUGUGGAUUUCUCUACUUUACUAGAGUUUAAAGGCCCCUGCGUAAGAACAUCACAUUUGAUGUGAUGCAUUUUGUAAGUUGGGAGGAAUUUUUCCAGCUGAUUUGAAGUGAUCUGGUCAUUGCGGUCAGAGGACAGGGAUCACCAUGGGGAGCAAUUCACAACCCUGCUGGAAGUCAUUGCCUGCAUCAUGGAUAAAGUGAGAUUCUGCAAAGCAGAGCAAGCUGCUCAACAGGAGAUGUCUGACCUCAAUCAGGGAACACAUCUUAGGAUUGAGGAGAAGGAUCUUUCAAGAAAGACUUCAAGUGGAAUGAGAAUACAAUAUGUCUUUUCAUUACGGAGUAUGAAGGAUAAAAG